UUCCUACGGGAGGCAGCAGCAAGGGAUCUUGCGCAAUGGGCGAAAGCCUGACACAGCAACGCCGCGUGGGUGAAGAAGGCCUUCGGGUUGUAAAGCCCUUCUCUCGGGGAAGAGGAAGGACGGUACCCGAGGAAUAAGCCUCGGCUAACUACGUGCCAGCAGCCGCGGUAAUACGUAGGAGGCGAGCGUUAUCCGGAAUUACUGGGCGUAAAGAGAGCGUAGGUGGUCUUUCAAGUCCUGGGUGAAAUCUCCCGGCUCAACUGGGAGGGGACCCAGGAUACUGGGAGGCUUGAGGGCAGCAGAGGGAGGUGGAAUUCCCGGUGUAGUGGUGAAAUGCGUAGAUAUCGGGAGGAACACCAGUGGCGAAGGCGGCCUCCUGGGCUGUACCUGACGCUGAGGCUCGUAAGCGUGGGGAGCGAACCGGAUUAGAUACCCGGGUAGUCCACGCCCUAAACGAUGGACACUAGCUAUGGGGGGUAUCGAUCCCCUCCGUGGCGAAGCUAACGCCUUAAGUGUCCCGCCUGGGGAGUACGGCCGCAAGGCUAAAACUCAAAUGAAUUGACGGAA
rnacentral:rRNA from 1 species